GUGGAAAAGGUGAAGGGAUGUGAUUACUUUCUGGUGGCACUGUAUAUACUGCCUCACUGUUCACAAUGUCAUAUGAAAAGCAUAUAGUAUUUCUGCCAACAAGAAUAGCAAGCAGUUCUCACAUUUGAUCCUGGGCUGGUCCCUUUCCAUGUAAAGUGUUCCCAUUCUCUCUUUUCUUGUGUGGUUUCUUUUUAGUCAAGUCAAAUUGAUUUAUAUAGCGCUAAUUUACAACAAAAAUUAAGUCAUGGCACUAUCCCUCAUGGCAUUUUCCAUAUGGAUCUAGUCCAGGACCGUGCUCCUCAUGCAUUGACGGAAAACAACUGAACCCCACAUGAGCAAGCACUACAGCAAGGAAAAACUCUCCAUCGAAGAAAGAAACCUGUGUGAGGCUACUAUAUGCCUCGAGUGCUAGUAAAUUGAGAGCUUUUGCCUUUCUGCUCAGCUCCUUCUUUACCACGACAGACAGAUACAGUCCGCGUCAUUGCAGAGGCUGUACCUGUCUGCCUGUCGAUGUCCCGCUCCAUUCUUCCCUCACUCGUGAAUAAGACCCCAAGAUACUUGAAUUCCUCCACUUUGGGAAGGGUCUCUUCCUCGACCUGGAGAGGACACUCCAACCUUUUAUGACUGAGCGACCAUGGCCUCAGAUUUGGAGGUGCUGAUUUUCAUCCCAGCGCUUCACACUUGACUGCAAAAACCGCUCAGGAAGAGUUGAAGUUUGUGGCUUGAUGAAGCCAUCAGAACCACAUUAUCUGAAAAAGCAGAGACGUAAUACGGGCAUCACUAAACCAGACCCCUCACCGCCUCAGCUGCACUUAGAAAUUCUGUCCAUUAAGGUAAUGAACAGAAUUGGUGACAAAGGGUUGCCUUGGUGGAGUCAAACGCUCACUGGAAACGAAUCCAACUUACUGCGGGGAAUGCAGACCAAACUCUGACACCGGUGGUGUACGGACCGAACAGCCCAUAUUAAAUGGGACAGUACCUCAUACUCCCGGAGCACAAGUUAAUUUAAUCGUGGCAGCCAAAAUCGAUAUCACGAUUAGAAUUUGAUUAAUUGUGCAGCCCUGGUUAUAGUUUUGGAAGAAAAAUAUUUUUUUCAUAGUUGUGCUCUGCAAUAUUACAAUAUAUAUCACAGCAGUAUAGAAACUUUCCUACUGUACAAUAUAGCCUUCUGUCUUUUUUUGUUAUUUUGAUGUGUGGGGUUAGCUCUGUUACUACACGAACAUCUGAUAUCUAGGGCAUCUGAAGUCACUCACUCUUUGUCAGAUAAAACCCAACGAACUCAAACUCUCGGAGCUCACGUACCAACUCCAACUACAAUCAACAUUUUGUUACGUCUUCUUUUCACCUCACUUUCCAGUCAUGACUUUUCGAUUUAAGCUUAAUACACCUAUUGCACUAAUCAAAGCAAAGCAAAUUUAUUUAUACAGGGCAUUUCAUACACAAGGUAACUCAAUGUGCUUUACAUGAUUAAAAGCAUUUAAAAACAAAGAGCUUAUAAACAGCUUAUACAUAUUUAAACAACAUGGGGGGAAAAAAGUAUAAUUAAAACAGUGUACAGUGCAAACAUGAGAAAAAAGCAUGACAAAAAAGAAGCGUAUUUAACCUGGACUUAAAAACAUUCACACUUGGGGCUGACGCCACUUGUUUUGGCAACUUAUAUAUUUGUUUUCAGCAUAUAAUAGCUAAAUGUUCCUUCACCACGUUUUCUUUGGACUCUGUGGUCCACUAUUUGACCUGAGUCUGCCGAUCUCGGAGCCCUACUGGGUUUAUAUUCCAUUAUCAUUUCUUUCACGUAUUCAGGACCUAAACCAUUUAGUGAUUGAUAGACAAGUAGCAGAACUUUAAAAUCUAUUCUAAAGCUGACUUGAAGCCAGUGUAAAGACUUUAGAAUUGGAGUAAUAUGCUCCGACCUAUUUGUUCUGGUCAGAACCCGAGCUGCAGCAUUCGGAAUGAGCUGCAGCUGUUUAAUCCUCUUUUGGGGGAGUUUUAGAAGACCAUUAUAAAAGUCAAGACUACUUGAGAUAAAAGCAUGGAUGAAGUCCUCCUGGAGCCUCAUGUACAAAGACUUGCGUGGAUUUACUCCUAAAACGUGGCGUACGCUCAAAUCUAGAGAACGUCGUACGCACAAAAAUAUCCAGAUGUAUGAAUUUGUGCGUACGCAUGAAUGCAAGCACAGGGGGCUGAGUGUCAUUACCCCACAAAGUAAAUACCAUGUAUUUUUAUAACUCACAACAAAUGUGUUCAUACAGUAACCUACAGUCAGCCCAAUGAGAUUCAGGUUCAUGCGUAAAUGUUGUAUGUAUGGUAUUUGUAAUAAAGCUUUUGAAUUCAAAUAGAAGCACAUCAAAGAGGAUAUCAAAAACUGUGACUCCUGUUUGAUUACUCAAUUUACUAUUUUAAUACACAGUAGAGGACUGCAGUUUUUUGGUCAAGUGUAUCAAAUUCUGACAUGGUAAUAGAGUUUUUCCUGGGUGGCAUCAGAUGUAGUAUCUUUUUAUGAUUUUGCUGAUUUCUGCUGAUAUUUAACCUGAUGGAUUGUAUUUUUUUUCACUAAAAUAACAGGCAAAUUCAUUGGAUUUAUCAGCUGUUAGGAGUUCUGGAGCUAUCUGAUUCGGGGUGAUCGAGCCCUGACUCUUGGUUAAAAUUACAAAGACUUUGUCUGUAGAGGUCAUAGUCAAUUUGGAGUUUAGAUUUUCUCCACUUACAUUCUGCUUUCCUCCACUUUGAUUUAGAGGUCUUUACCAUCAAUGCUCCUCCACGGUGUUCUAGGUCAGCUCGAGAUUGUCAUAGUUUUAAUCGGAGCGACAGCAUUCAUGACAUUUGAGAUUUUCCAGGUGAAAUUAUCCAAAAGUUCAUCAACUGUCUCAGCAUUCACAGUUUGGGGCACAGCUAUGGUCUCCAUAAACUUAGUGGCGGUACUCUCAUUUAUGUACCUUUUCUUAAUAGACAUUGAGGUUGUCUGAAUUUCUGGAAUAAUCUGUAAUUCAAAGAAUACACAAAAAUGGUCAGAAAUAGCCAUAUCCUUAAUGUCAAUUGAUAGAAUUUCAACAUCCUUAAGGCCUUUUUAUACUCCCACGCUCGCGUGGCCGACAACGCCUGUAUUACAUCACGUGACCGACGAUUUGGCUCGCGCGGCCCCUCUACGGCGCUUGACGCGCUCACGGCAAAAAUUGUUGCUGCACAUAGAAUGCCGACAUCAUCUCUCGUGAUUGGUAUGUUUUAGUCACAUGCUGUGAUGAUGUAAUCAGCGUUCCAUAUAGCACCAACGUCGCCGCCUUCUCGAUCGAUUUUGCAGCAUAAUUAAACGUAUCAUCUGGUCAUCUAGGUCCAUUUGUUCUAGCAGACUCUGUUCCACGGUCGCCAUUGUUGUUGCUUUGUUUCUUGUUAUGGAAAGGAAAGUAAAAACGGCUCCCGGAAAUGGCCACAAAAUGCAGAGGAAACUCCACCCUGUGGCGUCCUAGCCAAUACCAGCCGUAGCGACACCCCCUACUUGGAGGAGAACUGCAGCACACGUUCAAAACAGCGCGCUGAGGUUGUGCUCGAGUAUAAAGGCAAACUGCGUGCGGGAUAGCCGCAUUGAAGUCAGCUCGUUCGCCGUCCGCGCGAGUAUAAAGAAGCCUUUUGAGAUGACCAGGUCUAAGAUGUGACCUUGAGUGUGGGUUGGACUCUUAACUCAUUUAGUGCCAAGGACGUAUUACUACGUUUUCAUAAACCCAUCCGUUUAGUGCCACGGACGUAUUCAAUCGACACCAGAGGGCAGCAGUAGCUUUGAUCACAAUUUUGCCAGCACGUCAGAGGAAUACUAUAUCCCUUUGACUAUGUUACUAUGACUAUGACUCUGACGGUGGAGCGUUGCGGGGGCAUGAUUGAGAGAGAGAGAGAGACACGGUGAGCCAGUUAGAGCGAAAAACAAUGGAUAAAUACAGACGGUUUACUCUAAAACAGAGUUUUGCUAACGUCAAAAAGGAUUAUGUACCAUCAUUCUUUUCCCAAAAAAGAAAGCUAUGACGCUAUGACAACGAACGCUGUGCAAUGCUGGUCACGUCGAGCAUUCGAAUGCCCACGGUGAGAUCGCGACCAUAUCCCGAUCCACUUCCCCCGAAACAUGGACUGCCAUCGGACAUCCGGACUCAGAUUGCAAUGAGCCUGAUCCGGGUUAUCAUCUGGGAGUAGCAGGGCGUCCUCCAUAAACCCGCAGAAAGUCACCGACGAGUUGGUCCAACCAGCUCCCACACCUGUUGGCAAGAAAGGAAGUGCAUCAAGCAGUGGUGGGGCUGGUCGUCUGCUGACUGGGAGUCCCGAAAAGGCCCACAUGCACAGACACACGCAUACACACAUGCGGGCGGACACAUACGCACACACCUGUGCAUACUUGAAAGUUCAUGCAUCAUCAAUUUGAAAAUGCAUGUGUUAGACUUGUAAAUAAACUGUUACUUUGCAAUCAAAAUACCCUUUUUUGUGUGUGUUUUAUAUAGUAGGAAAACAUUGUUUAGAUAUUUGAGCUAUCAUAAAAGUAAAAAAAUUAGCCAUCACUGUGAAAGUUCUGCUUGAAAUGCAUCCUUUCACAAAAAGCUUUCUGUUUUUUUUCUUGGAUUCCUUGGUAAUCUGCUGGUGUUGCGUCCUCCCUUUUAGAUGUUGUUCCAUAUCUUUGGGUUUGCUACUACUAAAUUCCAGGGAGAACUGCUGGAUGAUCCAUGACCGUUUCCACAGUCCACAUCCGUCCACUUUGUUGAGCUAAUUGGCUGUCCGUUUGCACACUUCACUUCGGUAGAGUGGUUUAAUUCCCCGACUGUCCAUUUACAUCCACAUACAUUUCAAGACGGUGGAUUUUUGUUUCCAGGAUUGACAUCCUCUACAGCAGUCCGUUAUAGUCCUCAGUGGAAAAGGGAGGCCUCUUGAUUGCUGGUCUUGUUGCUAAUAGCAGGCUCAUGCUAAUUAGCAGGCCACGCUCACAUAAUGGUGAGACGGUAUCAGAAAAUAUUGGAAUAUGGCAACAACUGACUAGCUACAAAAAAACUAGUCCCACAGGUUCCUGGAGUCGCUGCUUCUCAUUUUUUAGAAGAAAAACAAGCUUAUCAGCAAGAAAAAAUGCAAACGGAGGCAAAGCAAGCAGAGCGAGCAAAAAAGCGUCUGCACUGUAUGAGAGCGAGAGAGAGAGAAUCUAACACUUCAAUUACUGUAAUUUCUCCUGUAUGUGACACACUCCAUUAUAAUGCGCACCCCCAAAGUUCACCCCAAAAAUAAAAAAAAGCCUUCUGCUCUUAUACAAUACACACCCAUGAUUUUCUAUCCAUUCAUGUUUAUAUUCUAUAAAAGUUAGCGGUUUUGAUAUGUAUUUAUACCCAACUAUAAUUAGUUAUAUUAAUUAAUACUGAGACCUGUUUGCACUUUAACAAUGUUUUUAAUACUGUGAUCCACCCUAGUGUUUAGUUUUGACAAUGCCACUUGAUGAGGCAUUUUUGCCUCCCACAUGAACAAUGUCGUCACCGUCUAAUCAUGGUGGCUUGCUGUCAGAAGAUUUCGCAUCAUGCCUAUCACCAUUGUAUUGUUUUUAAAAUGCUGUUUUAUCUCAGUUAGUCCCCUUAACGCCUCAAUAGUUGGAGUAAUGUGAAUGGUUAUUAGACCUUCUGUGUUUAUCCCCCCUCUGCUGCAUCUUGUUGUCUUAAAUUGUUUUUAUGUUGCACCAGGAUUGAGAAAACAUUACCUCUGUAGUUUUCACUACGAUGUUCAAGACGGCUCAUGUGACAAUUAGACUUGACACCAAUCUGAUCGGCUUGAUCACCCCCUCCAAGGACUCUAAAAAGGGUGGGUACUCUGAAAUGCUGUUUGGUGCAUCGGCACAAACAACAGCCAGGACCCGUCCCCCCGGCUUGAUCAUCAAUUAGCAUUUUAUGCUCAUUGGCUGAUCAGCUUUAAUGUCAUAAUUCGCCGAUCCAAUCAAUGAUGUCAUUGAUCUGCUCCGCAAGACAUUUACUCCGCGUCGCCAUGUACAGUAUAUUUGAAUCCAGAAGGUAGUUUAUUUUUAGCCUUGUUGCGUGUCUUUUGAUGUACUACUGUAAAUAUCUGACAGCCAGUAAAGUUAUUUUUAAAAAAAGUCGGCGGUGUGUGUUGUCUGUCUGAGACAGACAACACGUAAUGCCUUGAUCAAACUACAAGACAAAUUUGGUCGCAGGUCCGAUGACACGACCAAAGUGCACGUGUGGACACCCUUAUGCUUGAACAUGGUGUCCGUUAUGGACAAUCCGUGAUGAGCACAGAAGUCCAAUAACAGAACACCGCUCGGGUUCUGAUCAGGGUGGGGGGGGCCGUUCCUCCCAAUCACGCCCUUGCAGGUCUCACUGUCA